AGUACAAUAAUUAAUAAAAUGCAAUAGAAAAGUGACUCAUAUUGCAAAGAAGAAGAAGAAGAAGAUUAGAGAGAGAAGUAUGAAGAUAAAUGAAGAACUUAUUAUGGAAGAUAUCUAAAUGGUUUGUAUUUUGGUGGAAUUUGUGGGGAUUCAAAUGUGAAUAUGAAGAGUAGAUGAUUCUAGUUUAGGGUUUGGUCCAUUAUUAUUAUUUUUUCUUUUAGUUUUGGAUUCAAGUAGUAAGCUUUUUAAAUAAGUUGUCUAAUUUUAGAUUGGGAAAGAUUAGAUGAGUUACUUGUCUUUUUUCUUAAAAAAAAUAUGCAUAGAAAUAGAUACGUUAAAUCGCGUGUCAGAUGCGUAUCUGGAAAGUAUCUGAAAGUAUAGAUACGUCAAAUCACGUGUCAGAUACGUAUCUGAAAAUUAUCUGAAAGUAUCGGUAUCUGAUACAUGUCUGAUACUGAUUCUUUGCCUCACAUGAAGUAUCUGUGCUUUAUAGAUUUUAAUGAUUAUGACUUAUUUGUAUCAAAUUCCAAUAAGAUGAAUUAGAAGAAACAGUUUGAUGCAAAUUUGGAUGAACCUAUCUUACUCCGUUCAUCUGAUUUUGACAUUUUGAGCUGGUGGAAAUUGAAUGGGGUUAAGUAUCCCAUUUUACAAGAGAUUGCUAGAGACAUAUUAGCCAUUCCCUUAUCUAGUGUUGCAUCAGAGUCUGCUUUUAGUACCUGCAGACGGAUUGUAAGCCCAAAAAAUUUUGCCUAGAGAAGUUAUGCCUUAUUUGCAAAAUGGAAGACCUGUUGAUAUGGUUUUCAAUAUCGUAAUAAGCUUCAUCCGAAGACAAUAGAGGUGUUGAUGUGCGCUCAAAAUUGGAUUGCAACUGAAGUUUUGACAGGUACUAGCACGGGAAAGAAAUGGUUAAACAUUUAACAUCUGUUUUGGAAGAUGCAGAUGACUCUAAUGAAGAUGAAGUGAUGACUGAGGAAUAAUGCUCACAAGUUCACAACUAAGGAUGGGACGAUCACGAUGUCAAGAAAGGGGAAAUUUUUGAAGAGAUAACAUCGAUCAAGAGCAAUUUAUGAUCAUGGUUGUUGUAUUUGUAAUUGUAUAAGACAUGAUUUUAAUUGACUUCCAGCACUUGAACUUUAUUUAAUAAGUUGUAAACUUAUUUAAUGGAUUUGUAAACUUCUAAA